GAACCUUACCUGGCCUUGACAUACUAAGAAUUUCCAGAGAUGGAUUGGUGCCUUCGGGAACUUAGAUACAGGUGCUGCAUGGCUGUCGUCAGCUCGUGUCGUGAGAUGUUGGGUUAAGUCCCGCAACGAGCGCAACCCUUUUCCUUAUUUGCCAGCGGGUUAAGCCGGGAACUUUAAGGAUACUGCCAGUGACAAACUGGAGGAAGGCGGGGACGACGUCAAGUCAUCAUGGCCCUUACGGCCAGGGCUACACACGUGCUACAAUGGUCGGUACAAAGGGUUGCUACCUCGCGAGAGGAUGCUAAUCUCAAAAAGCCGAUCGUAGUCCGGAUCGCAGUCUGCAACUCGACUGCGUGAAGUCGGAAUCGCUAGUAAUCGCGGAUCAGAAUGCCGCGGUGAAUACGUUCCCGGGCCUUGUACACACCGCCCGUCACACCAUGGGAGUUUGUUGCACCAGAAGUAGGUAGUCUAACCGCAAGGAGGACGCUUACCACGGUGUGGCCGAUGACUGGGGUGAAGUCGUAACAAGGUAGGCGUACUACA
rnacentral:rRNA from 1 species